rnacentral:lncRNA from 1 species
CAGCGGUGCGCGGUUCCCAGGCGGGCGGCGGGAGGGGCCGCCCGAGGCCGCGGUCCGCUCCACCCUCGCAGGGACAGGGCGGGCCCGGACCCGGCCGCGCGCACCCUCCUGCCCGAGUUGCGACGAACGCUCGGCCGGCGUUCGAGUCGUGUGCCCCGGGGCCUGAACGUCGCCGGCCGGGGCGAAAACAGUCGGGGGCCUGCGCGGCACCCGCCCGGGACGGCUGAGGGUCGCGGCGACCCGCGGUGCAGAAGCCAGCGCCGGCCCCCUUCCCGAGGCGGCGCCGCUGCCCGGGGCUGGGAGGAGCGAGGCGGAAGCACUCCGUCGCAGGCGCCAGUGGCGAGUCGCGGCGCGGGGACCUGUCGGCUGGGAAGGCGCGGCCCCGGGAGAGCAGGAGAGGCGCGGGUCUUGCGUAGCCUCAGGGAGAUAACUUUCCGUUUUCUACUUUCCCAGGAGACGCGCUUCACCUGCGAGGAAGCCUCGCCGGAACCAUGAGUGUGCACCGCCCGAUCCCGACCUGGGCACUGGAAGAUCGGCGGCCUCAGGGGAAUUUUCCGAGCGAAGCUGGAGAUGACGCCGCCCGCACGGUGCCGUGGGAGUCUUUGCCCGCAGGAAGACAAGGCGGCAGGUGCGGGUCGCCGCUGACCUGCCCCCAACCACCAAGGGCUGUCGGAGCGGGCUUCGCCGCGACCGAGCCAGGGGCUGUGCCAGCCUGGGUCGGGCGUCCAAUUCCUGCCCUCGAGGAGGCAGAAUUCUUCCCGAGAGGUGUUCUCCCUGCUCGCCGCUCAGGCACGUCCAGGACACAGCUCUGGUAAAGUUAAACAGGGCCUCCCGUGCCGUAUUUCUCUGUGAACAC